rnacentral:rRNA from 1 species
UACGUAGGAGGCGAGCGUUGUCCGGAUUUACUGGGCGUAAAGCGCGCGCAGGCGGCACUUCAAGUAAGGUGUGAAAUCUCCCGGCUCAACUGGGAGGGUGCGCCGAAUACUGAAUGACUUCGAGUGCGGGAGAGGAGAGUGGAAUUCCUGGUGUAGCGGUGAAAUGCGUAGAUAUCAGGAGGAACACCGGUGGUGUAGACGGCUCUCUGGACCGUAACUGACGCUGAGACACGAAAGCGUGGGUAGCAAACAGG